AAAGGAAUAGACGGGGACCCACACAAGCGGUGGAGCAUGUUGUUUAAUUCGACGAUAAGCGAGGAACCUCACCAAGGCUUGACAUCCCGAGAACCCUGGAGAAAUUCGGGGGUGCCGCAAGGAACUCGGUGACAGGUGCUGCAUGGUUGUCGUCAGCUCGUGCCUUGAGGUGUUCGGUUAAGUCCGUGAACGAGCGCAACCCCUGCUCUAAAUUACAUAUUUUUUAGAGGACUGCCUACGUUAAGUAGGAGGAAGAUGGGGAUGACGUCAAAUCAGCAUGGCCCUUAUGCCUUGGGCUACUAACGUGCUACAAUGGGAUGUACAAAGGGUGGCAACCUCGCGAGAGCAAGCUAAUCCCAAAAAACAUCUCUCAGUUCGGAUUGAAGGCUGCAACUCGCCUUCAUGAAGUUGGAAUCGCUAGUAAUCGCAAAUCAGAACGUUGCGGUGAAUAUGUUCCUGGGUCUUGUACACACCGCCCGU
rnacentral:rRNA from 1 species